rnacentral:tRNA from 1 species
UCCCCGAUAGUCUAGUGGUGAGGAUAUCUGCUUGUCAUUCGAGGAAUCGUUGAUCGCAGGGGACCGGGGUUCAAUUCCCCGUCGAGGAG